rnacentral:rRNA from 1 species
AGUGAACGCUGGCGGUAGGCCUAACACAUGCAAGUCGAACGGCAGCACAGUAAGAGCUUGCUCUUACGGGUGGCGAGUGGCGGACGGGUGAGGAAUACAUCGGAAUCUACUUUUUCGUGGGGGAUAACGUAGGGAAACUUACGCUAAUACCGCAUACGACCUACGGGUGAAAGCAGGGGAUCUUCGGACCUUGCGCGAUUGAAUGAGCCGAUGUCGGAUUAGCUAGUUGGCGGGGUAAAGGCCCACCAAGGCGACGAUCCGUAGCUGGUCUGAGAGGAUGAUCGGCCACACUGGAACUGGGACACGGUCCAUACUCCUACGGGAGGCAGCAGUGGGGAAUAUUGGACAAUGGGCGCAAGCCUGAUCCAGCCAUACCGCGUGGGUGAAGAAGGCCUUCGGGUUGUAAAGCCCUUUUGUUGGGAAAGAAAAGCAGCAGGUUAAUACCCCGCUGUUCUGACGGUACCCAAAGAAUAAGCACCGGCUAACUUCGUG